AUUGAACGCUGGCGGAAUGCUUUACACAUGCAAGUCGAACGAUGAACCUUAGCUUGCUAAGGGGAUUAGUGGCGAACGGGUGAGUAAUAUAUCGGAACGUACCUUGUAAUGGGGGAUAAUUAGUCGAAAGAUUAGCAAAUACCGCAUACGCCCUGAGGGGGAAAGAAGGGGAUCUUCGGACCUUACGUUAUAGGAGAGGCGGAUAUCUGAUUAGCUAGUUGGUGGGGUAAUGGCCCACCAAGGCGACGAUCAGUAGCUGGUCUGAGAGGACGACCAGCCACACUGGAACUGAGACACGGUCCAGACUCCUACGGGAGGCAGCAGUGGGGAAUUUUGGACAAUGGGCGCAAGCCUGAUCCAGCCAUUCCGCGUGAGUGAAGAAGGCCUUCGGGUUGUAAAGCUCUUUCGCAAGGGAAGAAAACUUACAUUCUAAUAAAGUGUGAGGCUGACGGUACCUUGAUAAGAAGCACCGGCUAACUACGUGCCAGCCGCCGCAGUAACAC
rnacentral:rRNA from 1 species